rnacentral:tmRNA from 20 species
GGGGACGUUACGGAUUCGACAGGGAUAGAUUGAGCUCAGGUUGCACGUCGAGGUUACGGCUCGUAAAACGUUAUGCCUAAAUAUAACUGGCAAAGAAACUAAUCAACCUGUUUUAGCAGCUGCGUAAGUAGCCUAAAACGAUCCUUCCUGGCAUCGCCCGUGUGGCAGAUUGAAGGGUCUCAAAUUAAGCGGGCUAUGCUACGAUCCUCCGCCUGGGGAUUUGUAGAUGAAUCUAAUCAGGCUAGCUCCAUGAAAGCCUGUUGGUAGGCCAACAUGAGAGCGAAUGAUAAUAUACCAACUACGCGUGUAGAAGCCUGAGUGGCGAUAUCCUUGGACGAGGGUUCGACUCCCUCCGUCUCCACCA